rnacentral:rRNA from 1 species
UACGUAGGGUGCGAGCGUUGUCCGGAAUUAUUGGGCGUAAAGAGCUUGUAGGCGGUUUGUCGCGUCUGCCGUGAAAAUCCGGGGCUCAACCCCGGACUUGCGGUGGGUACGGGCAGACUAGAGUGUGGUAGGGGAGACUGGAAUUCCUGGUGUAGCGGUGAAAUGCGCAGAUAUCAGGAGGAACACCGAUGGCGAAGGCAGGUCUCUGGGCAUUAACUGACGCUGAGGAGCGAAAGCAUGGGGAGCGAACAGG